rnacentral:tRNA from 1 species
ACCUUAACACAGUCCCAUAAACA